rnacentral:rRNA from 1 species
UGGUGGAGUGAUUUGUCUGGUUAAUUCCGAUAACGAACGAGACUCUGUCCUGCUAACUAGGUUGUGUUUUCUCGGGUUGGUGUUUCUGGUGUUCCUUCUCGGGGCGCCGGCCCAAUCCACUUGUGAACACAACACUCUUCUUAGAGGGACUGGCGGCUGUUAGCCGCACGAGAUUGAGCAAUAACA